UAUAUGGUCAAGAAGAGAAGCGCAAACGGUGGAUGCCUUGGCAGUAAGAGGCGAAGAAGGACGUGGAAUCCUGCGAAAAGCUAUGGGGAGCUGGAAACGAGCGAUGAGCCAUAGAUGUCCGAAUGGGGGAACCCGGCUGCAGCGAUGCGGUCAUUUGCAUUUGAAUACAUAGGAUGCAAAGGCGAACUCGGGGAACUGAAACAUCUAAGUA
rnacentral:rRNA from 1 species